rnacentral:misc_RNA from 1 species
AGCAGCCGCGGUAAUUCCAGCUCCAAUAACGUAUAUUAAAGUUGUUGCAGUUAAAAAGCUCGUAGUUGAAUUUCGGGAUCAAUUUGCUGGUCGUGCCUCUGGUACGUACUGGUAUUAUUGGUUUCUCCCUUCUGACGAACCAUGAUGUCAUUAAUUUGAUGUCGUGGAGAAUCAGGACUGUUACUUUGAAAAAAUUAGAGUGUUUAAAGCAGGCAUUAGCUUGAAUACAUUAGCAUGGAAUAAUGAAAUAGGACGUUUGAUCCUAUUUUGUUGGUUUCUAGGAUUGACGUAAUGAUUAAUAGGGAUAGUUGGGGGCAUUAGUAUUCAAUUGUCAGAGGUGAAAUUCUUGGAUUUAUUGAAGACUAACUACUGCGAAAGCAUUUGCCAAGGAUGUUUUCAUUAAUCAAGAACGAAAGUUAGGGGAUCGAAGACGAUCAGAUACCGUCGUAGUCUUAACCAUAAACUAUGCCGACUAGAGAUCGGAUGAUGUUAAUUUUUUAAUGACUCAUUCGGCGCCUUA